rnacentral:lncRNA from 1 species
GUUGUGAGAAUCAAAUAUCACCUAUCAGUCAAACUCAAACGCUUACUCACGUGAGACUAAAACAAUUAUAUGAAAAAAAAAGUUGCCUAUAUUAUUUCACACGUACGAGAUGCUCUUUGGAAAAUUUCACCCUUUUUGUCUAUAAAUCUAGUGAACACCCAACGGAAGCCAAAGCUUUACGAGAUUUUUGGAUUCAAACCUCUGAAUCCCAAAAACCAGUUUUCUUUUUUGUCUUCCACCUAAAUCUGCUGUUAAAUUCUGUCAGCAUGAGUUUCUUGAUACCUUACUGCCUUUUAUGUAUGUGUAUGUGCAUAUAUAUACAAGGCAGAAUUAAUAAGAUUAGAUGAUCAUGAGAAGAAAUUGAUUUGGGGUCGAAACGUGUAACGGGUGAGUGGUUUCCAUGCUAUUCUUGUCAAUUGAGCAAUCUUAUUUGCAGUUAACCUUUGAUUCGUUGUCUGUUCGACCUUAGACUGCUAAAAACCCUAGCUAUGUAAACUUGUUUUUGCAUGAAAUUAAGAUAAUAUAAAUUGCCUUUUUAUAUCUUCGCGGUCUUUUUCUUUAUUUGUGUAAUCUGUAGAAUUAAUCAUACAUGGAGAAAUCUAAGAUAGAUUUCUGUUUAUAUUUUGGGCAUUAAAAAAACUCAUCAUAUAUGCAGAAAUUUAAUACAGUUGUAAGGCUGAUCCAAGGUUAAACGUUAAUCGAUUUUCUGCGUUUAAUCUUUCCGUCUUGUCUUCAGAUUAAAGCCAUAGUUCGUUAGUCCUUUUUUUCUUUUUUUAAUUUUUUUUUAAUUUUUUUUUUGUGAACUUGGUUUGGUAGAAUUUGAUGUGUUCAUAAUCUUCCCAAGCAAGACCUUCAACUCUGUAUGACUAAUUGAAAUUUACAUAGUUCUCAGUGGGUUGAUUUUCCUUAUGGAAAUUAAGUCUCUUAUGAAUAUUUGCAGUGUCCAUAGGUGAAGUAUAAACUAAAGCCGAAAUCAAACACAAAUAGAAGCAGUUUUAAGUGGUGAUAAUAGUAACAAAAGACAAGAAUAAAGGAGAACAUGAGAAGUCUAUAAAAAUUGACCUUGAUGCUGUUAAGCUCUAUCAAUUAGUAUUCAACAAAUUAAAAGUUUUUACUUUUCUCAAAAGUUAAACUCUGCUGCAAGUAGUUUAUGUUCAAGCUUAGAACAAGAAAUUCAAGAUUUUUAAAGUAGUUCAGAAAAUGCAUUUUCUAAUUAACACGGGAUCUUGCAACAAGAGGUGAAUUGGGAUCUCAGUAUUUGAAGGAGGGCAUGGUGUAGGACUGAUAUGUAAAUUACCUUGUAGCUUGUUUUCGAGAGGGACCAUGAAAAUUAAUUUCCCGAAUUUCGAGAUAUAAUAAAUACUUUUCAGAUUAAAAAAUCAUUUUUCUGGGGUGCAUUUUUGUUUGUACAUUUGCUGUGUAAUUUACCACCUAAAAGAUGUGCGCACAUAAAUUGAUAUGCAUUGAUAGGAAACAAGAAAAAUGUCCAUGAAAAUAAACAUUUACAUAUUCUUGGAAAGACAUUUCUAUAAAUGAAAUACAGUGCAUGUAUGUAUAUAGAUAUUCAAACUUUUAAGGUCGAACAGAUAAUGAAUUUAAGGUAUAACGAGCAAGGACUACUUAUUUGCCAAGGUAUUGCAUUGAAAUCAACACCUUGCAGCUUCCAUUGGUAUUGGCAAUAAAACCAUUCCAACAGGAAGAGGACACACCUCCAGUAUUGCUAAUUUAUCUUCUUGGUGGAACACGGCCGGACCAGAUAUGAGGUUCUAGACCACGAUGUUAUGGAGCCACAUUUUUAAGCAAAUACUGUAAGAUAUAAUUUUCUAUUUACAUUUAAAGCAUAUAUUUAUUGUGGCUUUAGUUGCAGCUAGCAUAAAUUCUAACCUAGAUAUCCCAUGUUUUGUGUGUGAAAAGCCUUGUUUGACAAUCAUUAUUUAAAAACUCUUUAAUUCUCAUACUUAUUUUCAAUCACACAUUUGUACAAUUAAAUAUUUUACAUGUAAAUCUAAAAUUUUUUCCUAUUUUUUAAUAAUACAUUUUCCAAAAAAAUCACUAUUCAAAACUAAUCCGUUUUUUCAAAAGUAUUUUAAAGUCCAUAUUUGUUGGUUAAUAUUAGUCAAAAUGAUAAUUUCAACCUCAUUUUUUAAAUUUUUUACUGCAUAUAUUUUUUAAUGUUUAAUUUUGUGGAUCUCAAUGUUGACUUUUAUAUAGCCCCUAUUUGGUUUAGAUAAAAAAGAAAAGAAAAGAAAAGAUUUUAAUAAAAGUUGAUAAAAUGUGUGGUUGAAAAAUUGUGAGUCUCAUGAUAUGUGUGGUUAAAAUUAAUUGUUGACUUUAACUUAAAUUUUAAUACAAUUUUAUAAUUGUGACAUGGUUAACUUAACAUUGACAUGAUUUUGUUACAAAAUGGAAAUUAUAUUAAAUUGUUUCAAAAACCGUUCAAUAGUACUAAUUUUGGGUUACAUUAGUUCCGAAGCCGUAUGAAAGGGGGAAAAAAUAUUAAAUGCACAAUACAAUUUGAGGGCAUGACUUUUAAAUUUCGACUCUGUUAUGAAAUAUUUCAUCCAAAAGAUUAAACCAUCAAAUAGAAUUCAAAUAUGUGAUUAUAUUUGUUGGCUCUGGUACAAUAUAGAAAUUUAAGUUGUUCGAGAUGAUUGAAAACAUUUUUGUGAUACGUAAUAAACAACACUCUAGCACACGUAUUGUUAUAAGGUGCCCAAGUUAGGUGUGGAAGCUAGGUGUUUAUGAAAUUUACUGUUUCAUUUAUUGAAUUUUACAAGAAUGGCUAACCUACACACUAUAUUUUACUUGAGUACAAAAAGCAAGUACGACUCUCUCUAUGUUUUUUAUGAUUACAUUUGUGAAUAAUUCAAUACUACAAAGUUAGCCUCUUUAUAUUGGCUGAAUAAUGUAUUCUAGAAUUUUGAGGAGCUUACGGAAUUUCAUGGUUUCGAAAGCAACCUUUUAAUUAGUUUCCAAUGUCAAUACUUCAUGGUCCGAUGGUCAAGAUUUGUAUCUUUCAAAGCCAUCUUAAUGUUGUGGUCUUCAAUAAACUUCAGUACUCUUUGAAGAAUGCAAGUCGGUCUUUUUAAUGAGUAAUGAUAUUCAACAUCACUGGUGUUAAGUAUCAGUCUAAGUAGCAAUUGCAUGCAUUAAAUAAUAUGUUCACGUAAAUGCAAUAUCACAUGAUUAAUUUAAUUGGACCUAUUAAAUGUGGCCUCCUAGACUGGUACUAGAUAGUAUUAUUGGUUUUUAAUAUGUAUGCCAUGACAUUGUAUUAGCAAAUUCUUAUUCUUCAAAUAUGAGUGAACAAACAUGUAGUUUUCAGCUAUUCUCCAAAAUUUACGAAAUAUAUAUACUGCUGGCAGAUUUUAUAUUGAAUCCUAAUGCAUUGGUAAUUACAUGAUAUUCAAUGAGACAAGACCCUCAUGAACAACAAUUUUAAGAUAAUUAUAUUAAAGACUAAACUUGUAAUCUUUACUCUACUUCUAUCAGAAGUGGAUGCCCCUAUUUGUGUUGGUGUAAGAUUUAUUUUGUAAUUCAUCAAGUUAAUUACUAGUUAGUAGUUAUCAAUCUAGCUCUAAAGAGAGUGGAAUUCGAGUCAUCCUCAAGGUAAAAUAUUGAAUGGAUCCCAAUUCUUGCAGUUCCAUUUAUGGUGCAGUAAUUUACUGCAUUUCACAUUGGACUGGCAAUUCUUGCUGAAUUUAUUACUCAAAAUGAAUCAAGGACAACCCCGUCACCACAGAUAUUCCCAGUAUAGCUAACAUGGUAUCUGCUGUCGCAGUUUUAAGCAGAAUUAAGUACCUAUUGUGGCAAAUUUAUCAAACCAAUUGCACAAAUGUAAUAACCACGCAGAUAUGGAAUUGGAUGGGCUAUAGCCUUUAUGUCUCCUGCUAUCCCAUCUUUCCAUGUCAUAUACAUUAAUGGUCUGCUGUUUAGUUUAUAAGCCAAGUUUUAAAGUUUUGUCCCCGGGGAAGAAUAAUCAACCAGACGAACCAGCAGCCAAUGUUUGGUUUUAACAAUCGUGUAAAAGCCCUAGAAAGACUCAAACGUGAAACGCCCAUGCCAUGGAUAUAGGUGCAAUUUGAGCUCAAGUGGAAUAUGGGUGUGCUCAUACACAGGUUCUCGAGUUUCUUAGCUCCUUUUUUAUGAUAAUUAUAUCUAACUAUGUUUUCUACAUACUCAUUUUCAAUCACGUAUUCAUACAAAAAAAUAUUCUGCAUGUAACUCCAAAAUUUUUUCUACUUUUUAACCACACAUUCUCUUAAAAAUUACUAUUCAAAACUCUAUUUUUCUCGAAUACUGGUUGUCAAAUAGGGGCUUAAUUUUCUGUAUUUCUUUGGAAGGUUGUCUAUGAUCAUCCAAAUUCAAACUGGGCAAAAGUAUUUGUACCUGAACUUGCUAUACAUAUGAAUCAUGUAUGGGGGUGUAAUCAUCGUUGAUGCAUAUAACACGUUAGAUACAUGUUUGUUGGAAAAUAUAAAAAGCUAUGCACUCCUAGGCAUCUUGUAAAUUUACGAAAUAAAAGUUAAGUGUUGUCUCGCAAUUUAAUUAGUCACUAUAGGGAGACUGGGUACUAAUUAUGUCACUGGAGGCCGAUCCUCCGGUGCUUUUCUUUGAAAGUUCUGCGGACAUUGUCUAGAAGCAAAGGUAUAAAAAACCAUAGGCUCAAACUGUCUUCUGGAUGAUAGAGCCUAGCUAUUGUAGAUUGGACUAUCUCCUCAAUUAUAAUCUUGCUUUUAGAUUUAUGAUUAUUGUAUUUGUCCUCUUAAAACAUUUUCAAGAUACUAUCUAAGUACACAAGAAAUCUAAGAACACAUUCAACAAACUAUCUAUUUUUAAAGAACAUGUUUUACAAUUUAGAGAACAUAUAAAAAUCUAUAGUGUAAAAAUUCUUAAGUACUCUAGCAGGCUAUUUAUAUUUAACAGUACUUAAUUUUACUACUCUAAAAAAAAUUAUUGUUUUUUUCUACUUUUUAUUUUUACUAGCCUUUCUCUAAAUUAUUAUAUUAUUUUUAUCCAUUGAAAAUUAAAAUACUUUAAAUACAUUUAAUUAUAAAAGGCCAAACUCAUUCUCUAAAUUAAAAUGUUAAUUUGAAGAAUAUCUUAGAGCAUAAUUUAUAAGGUCAACUUUUUAACAUAUGAAGCAUCUUAUUUUUAACGAGUCUCUUCGACAUGUUCUAAUACUUUCUAUAAGUUUCAAGAGACUCUCUAUUUUAAAAGUUAAAAUAGAGAAUAAAUUUGAUUCUCCAAAUUCAGAAAGUCAAACUUAGUUUCUAUUCCUAGUGUACAAUGAUUAGUUAGAUUUUAAUAUUUUACCUAACUAUUCAAAUCACAUUUAAAUUGAUUGAACAUUACUAUAUAAUAAAAAAAAAAUCAUGUUAAAUAAAAUAUAAAGACAAAUCAAUAAAUGUUCUUUUUGGGGAAAGCAAAUUGAAAAGUCAAAAUAGAGAGUACUGUUGGAGUGUAUAAAAAUUUUGAAACCCUAAAUUUAAAGAUGGUCCGCACAAAAUGUUCUUUAUAAAUAAUGAGUCUAUUAAAGAUGCUCUUAGAAGGUUACAUGCAUUUGAUGAAUGUAUUCUGCUUUCGAGGACUAUGCUUCCGGGAUAGAUCACAAACAAACAAUUUUCCAUUUUGUUCGUAUUUCCCUUUGGCUCACAUUCUGGACAUGAAUGUACUAUAUUGGUUUAACGCAAAGCUUAACUCUAGUAGAGUCAGAAGAUCAGACAUAUAUGAAACAAUGUCUAAAGGAUAUAUUGCCAUUUGCAAUGAAUAAAACCUGAAUGAGGCAGGUAAGGAUGGAUAACCGAUCGUCUAAAAGCAUUUUGUUCUCUUCUUCGCAUGAAAUAUAUCGAAUAAGAUAAACAUUCACUCCAAGUGAAACUAUUAAUAUUCAAUGAAACCAGGGGCGGACCCAGACCAUUUAAACUGUGGGGUCAAAUUUUUUUUUUU